UACGUAGGGUGCGAGCGUUGUCCGGAAUUAUUGGGCGUAAAGGGCUCGUAGGCGGUUUGUCGCGUCGGGAGUGAAAUCCACUGGCUUAACUGGUGGCUUGCUUUCGAUACGGGCAGACUGGAGGUAUGCAGGGGAGAACGGAAUUCCUGGUGUAGCGGUGAAAUGCGUAGAUAUUGGGAGGAACACCAGUGGCGAAGGCGGCUUCCUGGUCCAGCACCGACGUCAGGCACGAAAGCGUGGGGAGCAAACAGG
rnacentral:rRNA from 1 species